GUGGGGAAUUUUGGACAAUGGGGGCAACCCUGAUCCAGCAAUGCCGCGUGAGUGAAGAAGGCCUUCGGGUUGUAAAGCUCUUUUGUCAGGGAAGAAACGGUGUUUCCUAAUACGGAAUGCUAAUGACGGUACCUGAAGAAUAAGCACCGGCUAACUACGUGCCAGCAGCCGCGGUAAUACGUAGGGUGCAAGCGUUAAUCGGAAUUACUGGGCGUAAAGCGUGCGCAGGCGGUUUUAUAAGUCUGAUGUGAAAUCCCCGGGCUCAACCUGGGAACUGCAUUGGAGACUGUAAGGCUAGAGUGUGUCAGAGGGGGGUAGAAUUCCACGUGUAGCAGUGAAAUGCGUAGAUAUGUGGAGGAAUACCGAUGGCGAAGGCAGCCCCCUGGGAUAACACUGACGCUCAUGCACGAAAGCGUGGGGAGCAAACAGGAUUAGAAACCCUGGUAGUCC
rnacentral:rRNA from 1 species